rnacentral:misc_RNA from 1 species
UAUUAUUAUUAUUAUUAUUAUUUCUUUAAGUUGCAGUAGCUCACAUUGUUAAGCCCAGGUACUGAUUUGCUAAACAUUGGGAGAAAUCAUCUAUUUAUUUUGUUUCAUCCUCGCACUGAAUGGCAGCUUUAUGCUUCUCAUCAUGAUCGCUAACUUGAAUAGGAUUACUAUAAGUAUUAGAAGAAUAUGGUCAUUGGAUUGCAUAAUCACGGAAACCAUCCUUUAACCCUUUCUCCUUUGUAGAGGCAGGUGAAGAGAGAAGGGGGAUUGAAAUGCAAACGUGACCACACAUUACCGUAAUUCGACUAUUUUGGCAAAUGUGUAAGCUUGAGUAUCUAGAAACUAUAACCAUUGGCUCUGCUUUCAAUGAUGUUCAAAAAUUCAGAAUGUUCAACAGGCAAUAAGAGGUUACAGAGUCCUGGAAUUAUGCUCUACCUCUUCAUGAAUAUAUUGUCUUAAUUAUAUUUGGUGCAUAGCACUUGUCAAUUUUAUUUCUAUGUCCAAACUGGCUGAUCAUGUAAGAAGAUUUGGUACUAUUCCUCCUGUUAGAUUGACAAAAUAUCUGACUACUAGACUCUAAUAUUUUAGCCUUGCAGAAAAUAUUCAUUAAAAAAGGACCAGAUUUAUAUGUUUGAAAUGGGAGAUUAUCAGACACUCCUUGUGAAUUGCACCUUCACUCACACACAUGGGAUCCAUCCCACAAUUCACAUGGUCCCCACACGUAAAUGUUGCGAAGUGCAAGCAUUUGUAGAGAAGGGUGCAUUAUUUUUGUUUACUUACUCACACCAGUAUUGACUUCUGGAAAUGCAAGGUGUAACUGGUAAGUGUAUAGGGUGCAUUAUUUUGGUUGAGAUUGACUUACGGGUCAUCAUUAUUUGAGUGCUUGGUUGUUGAUUGUCCUCAGUGAUGAGUUUAUCAUUCUUUCAUCAUUGAGUUGUUUUCAAAAUUAAAAAAAAAAAAAAAAUCUCUGGUGGGUAUGCAGAUAAGAGAAAGAAAUUAAAAUCUUGAUUCUUGAACUUUUUCAAGAAAACAAAAGUAAGGUGCAGGUGCAAAUGCAGAUAAAGGCAACAUAUUGGCCGCAUUUGCUCAGAGCUAGCUGCAAGAUUAAGAAGCCAUUGAUCAAUCUGAACAACAGAAGGAAAGAUUUAUAGGAGAAAGAAAAAGAGAAAGAGAAAGAGAAAGGAGAGUAGAA